rnacentral:rRNA from 1 species
AGUGAACGCUGGCGGUAGGCCUAACACAUGCAAGUCGAACGACAACACAGUAAGAUUUUGCUUUUACGGGUGGCGACUGGCGGGUGGGUGAGGAAUACAUCGGAUUCUACUUUGUCGUGGGGGAUAUCGGAGGGACACUGAUGCUAAUAGCGCAUACUUCCUACGGGUGAAAUCAGUAGAGCUUCGUACCUUUCCUGUCUCAAUUAGCUGGUGUCGGAUUAGCUAGUUGGCUGGGUAAAGGCCCACCAAGGCGACGAUCCGUAGCGGGUCUGAGAGGAUGAUCAGCCACACUGGAACUGAGACACGGUCCAGACUCCUACGGGAGGCAGCAGUGGGGAAUAUUGGACAAUGGGCGAAAGCCUGAUCCAGCCAUACCGCGUGAGUGAAGAAGGCCUUCGGGUUGUAAAGCCCUUUUGUUGGGAAAGAACAGCAGCAGGUUAAUCCCCCGCUGUUCUGACGGUACCCAAAGAAUAAGCACCGGCUAACUUUGUG